rnacentral:rRNA from 1 species
GUCUUUUAGAUUGUAUUAAAAGUCUAAUCUGCCCAAUGAUUUCUUAAUGGCCGCGGUAAACUGACCGUGCAAAGGUAGCAUAAUAAUUAGUCUUUUAAUUGAAGGCUUGUAUGAAUGAUUUGAUGAAAAAUAAUCUUUAUUAAUAUAAAUAUUUUAAUUUAACAUUUAAGUAAAAAGGCUUAAAUAAUUUAGAGGGACGAGAAGACCCUAUAGAAUUUAAAAUUCAUAAUUAUUAAGUUUAUUUAAUUAUAAAUUAAAUUUAUUAAUUAUGAUUUUUUUGUUGGGGUGACAUUAAAAUAUAAGUAACUUUUAAUAAACUUUUCAUUAAUAUAUGGUAAUUAGAUCCAAUUCCUUUUUGAUUUUAAGAUUAAUAUUACCUUAGGGAUAACAGCGUUAUUAUUUUAAAAAGUUCUUAUUGAUAAAAUUAGAUUGCGACCUCGAUGUUGGAUUAAGAAAUAGAGCUUGGUGCAACUUUUAAGUAUCUAGGUCUGU